rnacentral:lncRNA from 1 species
UGGGUAAGCAGCCCAGCCCCAGAGCCCUGUUUUGAACAUGUGAUUCUGGUACCAAGAACUUUAUCAGUCAGGGGUCAACUUGAAAAACAGAGACCAUUUAAGGAUUUAAAACAGAGGGAAUCAAAUGAAGGGGAUCGGUUAUACAGGUGCUAGAAGGGCAGAUAAACCAGAUCAAGGACACGACCAGAGAUCAGCCAACAAGAAGACACUACCGUGCUGGACUGGCUGGUGGGACACAAGGAGGACGUGGGUUCCUGGAGCCCAGGAAAGUGGGAACCAUGGCAGGGCUGUCUGACAGAAGCUAUGACCACAGAGAAAGUGCAGUCACCACCUGAGACACCCUAUGAAACAGAGACAGGGGACCCCUGCAGCUUUUCCCUUCCUCCUGCUCCCCAGUAUUUUACCAUUGUCCCCAUCAGCUGAAUCAGCCAUUCUGAGAGUCAGAAAUGGAGCCCACAAGGGUUACCUGCAAGUGACACAGAGCCGAGCAGGGGACAGGUGAGGAAUAGACCCAAUAGAAAAACUGCCAAGGACCAGCACCCUCCAUGCAGGCCUGGGAUGACUAGAAUCCACAUAUGUCAAGCAGACUGUGCUCCAAAAGGUGAGCUCCAGUGUGCAGAAACGCGUAGGACUGAGAGCAAUGCUUCUGAAUGAACUUCUCUGACCUAAACGUCAUUUUAGAAACUGAAAUAUAUUGAGAACCUAAGGCACCAAAAGAAGAUGCUUGCUCUUAAAAAACAAAACAAAGGAAGCUAUUCACUAACUACUGACUAGAAUCAUGUCAAACGUGCUAGGAAAAAUAUCCUCUAGCUCACCGUUGGACAGCCCACCCACUAAGAAUGAGCAGUUUGCACAUUUUGGCACUUUAGGGAACCUGGAAGGAGAAGAGAAGACCUGGCCCCUGCCCAGGAAUCUCCGCAGCCCUCCCGUGUGCCUCUUUAGUGUGUCUGAGCUGGAGUGAUGCAGCGGUCCAGUAGCAGUUCUACUGUAAGAAACGCACCCCCCUGGCCGCACACUCAGACUUGAUGUAACCAACGGAACAGAGUUUCAGCAGCAGGAGAAGCCAGUGGCGGCAGCAGCCCCCAGAGACGGGUUCUGGAGCAGUCAGCUCCGAUUCCCUGGUUGAAUUGAAAGAAACUGCCAUUCUUGUAGGUCAACACUCGUCAAGGUAUCAACAGUUUCAUAUGCUUCAAACCUCAUAAAAACCCCUCAGUAGUCUGGCUUCAAGAGAGGCAUGAUCCAGGAGCGUGGCCAGUUUCUCCAAGGACUCAGAUUUUCCCAGCCCUUCCAAUAUGCUUUUCAUGGGGACAGGCUCAUCACCAGAUCUCAGGAGUCCCUACCCUAGCAUGACCUAAGAUACCUCAUGAUGUCAAAAUGGCUGCAGCAGUUCCAGACAUACAUCUUGACACCAUAUCAUCCAGGGGAAGAGAAAUGGUCUCUUCUGACAGCACACGCAGGGGAAGGAAGGAGUUCCCCUUUCCCAGGAACACUGGCAAACAGCUCUCUUGCCUCCUUGGUUCUGAAAAAGUGGAAUAUUUUCCUACUAUUGCCAGGAGAUGGGAAUUUUUUUUUUUAGCUCAAGCUAAUCAGGACUCGACCUGGAGCUAGGAGUGAGGUCAAUCCCACCCAUAUCACAUAGUUGAGAAUAAGGGAGGCUAGUCUCCUCAAAGUCAAAUCUGGGGACUGUUACCAGAGGAAAAUAAAUAUUUAAUGGCAAAAGAGAGAUGUUCCCUGCAGGCUGCUGGCACUGAGGUGAGCAUGAC